GUGGGGAAUAUUGCACAAUGGGCGCAAGCCUGAUGCAGCAACGCCGCGUGAGGGAUGACGGCCUUCGGGUUGUAAACCUCUUUUAGUAGGGAAGAAGCGUAAGUGACGGUACCUGCAGAAAAAGCACCGGCUAACUACGUGCCAGCAGCCGCGGUAAUACGUAGGGUGCAAGCGUUGUCCGGAAUUAUUGGGCGUAAAGAGCUCGUAGGCGGCUUGUCGCGUCUGCUGUGAAAACCCGAGGCUCAACCUCGGGCUUGCAGUGGGUACGGGCAGGCUAGAGUGCGGUAGGGGAGAUUGGAAUUCCUGGUGUAGCGGUGGAAUGCGCAGAUAUCAGGAGGAACACCGAUGGCGAAGGCAGAUCUCUGGGCCGUAACUGACGCUGAGGCGCGAAAGCGUGGGGAGCAAACAGGAUUAGAAACCCCAGUAGUCC
rnacentral:rRNA from 1 species